CAAUGAGUGUUUUAUGGCACUCUUUAAAAAUCCAUAUCCACCUUGUGUGCAAUGUUUGUUGGGAGAGAGGCAACUCUUUCCCUUCACAAAUAUCAACUUAUUCUUUAACUCUUUGUCUGAAAAAUAUUAUGAAUAAAAUAAUUCAAAAUA
rnacentral:misc_RNA from 1 species